rnacentral:rRNA from 1 species
GGGAUUGCCCCAGUAACGGCGAGUGAAGCGGCAACAGCUCAAAUUUGAAAUCUGGCCCUGGGCCCGAGUUGUAAUUUGCAGAGGAUGCUUUUGGCGACGCGCCUACCGAGUCCCCUGGAACGGGGCGCCACAGAGGGUGAGAGCCCCGUAUGGUUUGACGCGGAGCCUCUGUAAAGCUCCUUCGACGAGUCGAGUAGUUUGGGAAUGCUGCUCUAAAUGGGAGGUAAAUUUCUUCUAAAGCUAAAUACCGGCCAGAGACCGAUAGCGCACAAGUAGAGUGAUCGAAAGAUGAAAAGCACUUUGAAAAGAGGGUUAAAUAGUACGUGAAAUUGUUGAAAGGGAAGCGCUCGUGACCAGACUUGCGCCGGGCGGAUCAUCCAGCGUUCUCGCUGGUGCACUCCGCCCGGCUCAGGCCAGCAUCGGUUUUCGCCGGGGGACAAAAGCACCGGGAAUGUGGCUCCCCUCGGGGGAGUGUUAUAGCCCGGAGUGUAAUACCCCGGCGGGGACCGAGGACCGCGCUUCGGCAAGGAUGCUGGCGUAAUGGUCAUCAGCGACCCGUCUUGAAACACGGACCGAGGAGUCAAGCAUUAGUGCGAGUGUUUGGGUGUAAAACCCGCACGCGUAAUGAAAGUGAACGUAGGUGAGAGCUUCGGCGCAUCAUCGACCGAUCCUGAUGUUUUCGGAUGGAUUUGAGUAGGAGCAUUAACGCUUGGACCCGAAAGAUGGUGAACUAUACUUGAAUAGGGUGAAGCCAGAGGAAACUCUGGUGGAGGCUCGCAGCGGUUCUGACGUGCAAAUCGAUCGUCAAAUUUG